AUUGAACGCUGGCGGCAGGCCUAACACAUGCAAGUCGAGCGGAUGAAGGGAGCUUGCUCCUGGAUUCAGCGGCGGACGGGUGAGUAAUGCCUAGGAAUCUGCCUGGUAGUGGGGGAUAACGUCCGGAAACGGGCGCUAAUACCGCAUACGUCCUGAGGGAGAAAGUGGGGGAUCUUCGGACCUCACGCUAUCAGAUGAGCCUAGGUCGGAUUAGCUAGUUGGUGGGGUAAAGGCCUACCAAGGCGACGAUCCGUAACUGGUCUGAGAGGAUGAUCAGUCACACUGGAACUGAGACACGGUCCAGACUCCUACGGGAGGCAGCAGUGGGGAAUAUUGGACAAUGGGCGAAAGCCUGAUCCAACCAUGCCGCGUGUGUGAAGAAGGUCUUCGGAUUGUAAAGCACUUUAAGUUGGGAGGUAGGGCAGUAAGUUAAUACCUUGCUGUUUUGACGUUACCAACAGAAUAAGCACCGGCUAACUUCGUG
rnacentral:rRNA from 1 species